rnacentral:lncRNA from 1 species
UUUCCUUUCAUUUUUUUUUUAUUUCGUCCUCACAAUUGAUUCAAAAACGGCACCGUUUUAUGCUCUGCCACUCACAUCCCUUGUCUUCUCUAACAUGCCAUAUUUAUGUCAGACGUCAUAUCCUUUCGUCUUUCACAUUCCUCCAUCUACUCUCACGCUAUCACAAAAAAAUUGAGAUGACGACACCGCCAUUUGCUUCCUCUGCAGCGCACAGGAAAUGACGCCGAGUAGAAUAUCUGCUUCUAGAAACCAUCCAGCCUCUUCCACUCUCAUUUGCUUCUUUGUUUGAUUGGAACUUCGACCCUUUCUUUCUCUUGUUUCACAGUAAGUUCUCGGCCUAUUUUUCGCUGGUUUGUUCUUCAUGUAGCUCGAUCUACCCGAGAAACUUCAUUUCCUGCUAAAUUCUUGCUUCUUUAUGGAUUUGUUUGUUACUUUUUGUAGUUUUAUUUAAGAUUUUUUUCUUUUUCCCUGUCUGAAAUGUGAAAGUUUUGUUGGGUUACUAUUUAUUUGCUUCGAUCUACUUCAAAAGCCAAAGAUCCUGCUCAAUUUUUUUACGAUUUUGUUAUCAUUGACUAUAUUCCAAUUCUGGCUGUCGUUUUUACUAUAGUUCUAGCAUAUUUCCAAGAGACAUUGCUACUAUUUGUAGUUCUAGCUUAUUUUGUAGUUUAUUCGUGUUUUUUUUUUUUUUUUUUUUUUUUUUUUUUUUUUUUUUUUUUCGCACAGCCUUAUCUCCUUUUCUCCAACCAAUGUCUCAUUCUCUCACAAAGGGUGUGCCACGACCAAGCACAAAAUAGAAGUUGAGUUUUAAGAAAAGGGCAACAACCUUGAAAAUUAAACAGUCGAGAAAUAUGCGCAAACGUACUGGAUUAUAAUAUGGAUCCAUUGUUUCUCUAUGCAUUUUAAAUAAUCGAUUUUCAUUUUCAUUUUUUUGUUAAUUAAUUGUUGUUGUCUCCUUAUUUUUUAUCGGUGUACUAUGGAUGAAUGACUUUCUAUUUGACACAUAAAUUUGCUAUUUGUUUGGGGAGUUCUGAUUGGUAAGCUCAUUUCUGAUCUUGUUUUUCUUCUCUUUCUUUGGGCAUUCUUUUUUUGAGAAUAAAUUGGAGAUUUCAAAGGGAGUAGGGAUUUUGAAAUGAAGACAUUUUAUGUUCGCAACUUUUCAUUUGGUGUUGUGUUUGGGGUCGUCAAAGCUCCCUUCUUGUUCUUCUUUUUUAGAUUUUAAUCUAAUCCUUGCAAUAUUUUUGUGAUAUUAAAAAAUAUGAACAAGGAAUCGAAAGAAUUUGCUGGAGAAAAAUGUGACAUUUAUUUUUUGCUCUUGUGCGGGUUAUUGAAACAUUGUUUCUAUGACAAAUAUCACCUUUUCUACUUGGGACAAACCCUCUUUGGCUCUUCCAACUUCUAGACUUUAGCCGCAACGUUUGAGGACAGAGGUAAAUUAUUUAGUUUUUUGGUUUAAUUUCAAUAAGUAAUUACAAUGUGACUUUAGUUUUGUUUGGGUUGAUUCUGUUUCCUUUACAAUUAACAAUGUGUAUUUUAUUCUUUAGAGCUUUGCUGAAAACCUGUGCCCAUUUACCAUUUCUUUAAUUUGUUUAGUCUUCUUAAGUUCAAACCUACUCUUAUAUAUAUUUUUAAUCAGCCUUUCCACCAUUUCGUCUUUGCUUCUCAUAGUUCAUGAGAUUCUAUCUUCCAAUAUUCAUCGUGUUUGUAUCAAAGUAUUUGUUUUAUGAGAACUGCUUUGCAAUUUGCUCAAUUUUCGAACAGUAAGUUAUCUGAAAUGAUCAUACUUGAUCUUUUAAAUGCUUGACUUCUUGUGUUGUCCACUUGUAAAUGCUCGUCUCUGGUUGCUAUAGUUCUUCUGUGUUGUGCAUUUCUUUGCGGCGUCUCUUGGCCUUUCCUAUCUCGUUUUAUAUUCCUUAACACUCGAAUCAACAUAAUAUGCGACUCUGUUUGUAGACUCACAUAAGCUUGUUGAUUAAAAAUGUCUAAAUGAUGUGAAUAAAAUUUGUUUUUUUGUGGGUUUUAACUUUAACAAAAGACAUUUACAUUCAUUGAUUGCAUCACUAACAAAACAAAAAGUAUUUGCUUGAUGUGAACCCAAAAGUAAGAAAAAUAAUAGAGCGUAACAAUCUGAUUAUACUUGGUGCAAGAUCAGAUUAAAGCACAGUUCGAGGAGCUUAGGUCCAUGAGGAAUUUUUUUUUGUUCCAAGAUAUUUUUGGCAUUUAGAUCUAUAUAUCUGUUGGCAUUUAUGGAUUUACAUAUAUUUUCUACAAGUAAUAUAUGACUAUGGAUUCUUGCACAUCUGAUUGUAUUCUACUGACGUAUUAUGCAUGCUCUAAUUCUAAGUACAGCCUUGCAAUUUUUCUCAAAAUUAUGUUGCAUUUGUGCCAUUUUUACAACCGUAUAAUUUAUUUUAUGUUGUUCAUUUACUUUAAUUCAAAUGGGUUGCCAAUUCGCAGAAUAAUCUUCUAAAAAAUUUAAGUUAAAGGAGCAUUGGUUUUCAAUUUUAUGUUUUCACCAUUUGUCUAAAUUUGGUGUAGUAGGAGUAAUUGAUUAAAAAUUGAAUUUUCAGCAUUGGAAAAGAACGAUUAGAGAUUUUGGACUAGAAUUUAUGUAUAGAUGGAUUAACUUUCUAUUGUACAUUUGUCUGACAACAAUUCUUUGACAUGUUUGGACAAUAAUUCUUGUAUAAUCUAUAUGUUGUCUCUGUAGUAUAGAUAUUAUGUCAAACAGAACUGAUCUACCACACCGUUUUGUUCAAGCUAUCAAACUUUCGUUGGACCAUAAUGUUCGCUUGGUAAGUCUUCAAAUGAUCUCUUUGUCACCAUUUACUGAUAAUUAAUGAAAUUAUAUACCAAGUAAACCAUAUUUUCAUGAGACUUAUAUCUUUUUCCUAUAGUUGCUUCCUAGAUCUUUUGUAGAAUGCUCAGGACGUGACCUUGGUGAUACAGUACGUUUAACUGGUUACGAUGGAAUUAUUUGUAACAUACAGUUGGAGAGAGUUGAUGAUAAUAUAUAUCUUGGUACCGGAUGGCCACAAUUCUUUGAUCACCAUAACUUAGAAGAUGGUUAUGUUCUCGUCUUUGAAUAUAACGGAAAUUCUACUGUCGAUGUUUCGAUAUUUGAAUGUUCAGGCAUGGAAGUAACGUAUGAGUCUGAUAUGUUUGACACAUAGACUUCACAUACUGGAAUCCUAUCUUCCGAGUAACAUUAGAAGCUAAUCGUGAUGGUCAUCGAAAAAUUGUAUGCUCCUUUGUAACUUAAAUCUUUCCUGAACUACACAAAACAUUUCCAUACUUAUCAUUCUUGCUGAAUUCUGGAUUUAACUAUUUAUAGAUUUGUCAUUUUGCUUUGUAGUACGUACCUGGGACCUUCGCUCGAUUGUUCUUACCAGCGUCUGUCCAGAAUGUUCAGAUCCAUGAUCGUUCACAUCAUAAUUGGUCCAUACGUACAAACUUAAGAACAAAUGGUUAUCUACGAUCUUUUACCGUAGGUUGGGCAGAAUAUGUUAGAGAGAAGCAACUUCAAAUAGGUGACACAUGUGUCUUUGAACUUAUGAACGAUGAAAUCCCCAUGUUCAUGGUGUAAAAAGUGUCCCGCGCUGAUGGAAGUUGGACUCUUACAUGAACUGUACAUUUCCAUUUGUGGCUUUCGUAUUUACUUAUUAUCGGAUAUUUAUCUGUUUUCUUCUGUACAAACACUCAAUGACUAAUCUAUUGGGUUUCGAAAUUGUAAUUUGCCUAUUCUUUUUUGGCUUCACAUUGGCACUAAAUUUGUACAUUUAAAUUUAUUCUUAUUAAAUUCGAUAGAAAACAAUCUAAACAAAAUAUUAUGAGUCUAUAUGAAAAGUAUUUCCGCCUAACUCAAUUUUUAGGUAUUUCUUUCGGUGCGCCUACAUUUAGCUUUCAAGGGUAUACCUUCGUGCCACUAAAAAGGUUUAUUCUUACUUCAUGUAUGCUCUAAUAUAUAAUUGGUUUUUUUCCUGCAUCUCCACUUCAAAUGCGCUUUAAUUCUUACACUUCUACUUACUUCAUGAAGGUCCACAUUUUUCUACAGGUAUAUCUAAAGAGUCAAAUAUGAAUGAUAAUACUUGAACUUCUUCCAAAGCAUUUAUCACUAAAUUUAGAAAGAACUCUCCUGAAAGAUUACCAUAAUUUGAAAGAACAAUUAAAUAUCUUCAUGGAAAACUUAUCUUUUGUUUAUAACUACAAAGUGAACAUUAUAGAACUCAAACAAGAGAUAACUUCUUUGUCAACAUAUUUGAUUGUUCUUUUAGAUUGUGUUAUUCUUUCGGGAGAGUUUCUUUUAAGUUUGGUGAUAGUUACUUUGGAAGAAGCUCAAACUUUAGACUCCAGCAUAUUUCAUAUUGAGAGGUAAUUCCUAAACCAACGUCAAAUUUUCCUCAAUUUAAAGUCCUGAAUUAUGUGUUCAGAACGAAUUAUAUUGUCAUUGUAUAAUCAAUUGUUGAACCAUUUUUGUUCCAGCAGCUGAAAAUAUCUCUAUGCCUCAGAAGCCCAGGUAUUCUCUUCUUUUCUUUGCACACUUAUCUCCUCCUCAACGUGAUGGUCAUUAGGAUUUCUUAAUGCUUGUUGAGUCUAAUUUAAAUUCAUGUUUGUUCACAA